GAUCAUGGCUCAGGACGAACGCUGGCGGCGUGCCUAAUACAUGCAAGUCGAGCGGACCAAAGGGAGCUUGCUCCUGGAGGUUAGCGGCGAACGGGUGAGUAACACGUGGGCAACCUGCCUGUAAGACUGGGAUAACAUCGAGAAAUCGGUGCUAAUACCGGAUAAUAAAAAGAACUGCAUGGUCUUUUUGAAAGAUGGUUUCGGCUAUCACUUACAGAUGGGCCCGCGGCGCAUUAGCUAGUUGGUGAGGUAACGGCUCACCAAGGCAACGAUGCGUAGCCGACCUGAGAGGGUGAUCGGCCACACUGGGACUGAGACACGGCCCAGACUCCUACGGGAGGCAGCAGUAGGGAAUCUUCCGCAAUGGACGAAAGUCUGACGGAGCAACGCCGCGUGAGUGAUGAAGGUUUUCGGAUCGUAAAACUCUGUUGUUAGGGAAGAACAAGUGCCGUUCGAAAGGGCGGCACCUUGACGGUACCUAACGAGAAAGCCACGGCUAACUACGUG
rnacentral:rRNA from 1 species